rnacentral:lncRNA from 1 species
AACAGAAAACUCUAAAAACAUUAGAAAACCCUAAAAAUUUUAGAAAACCCUAAAAAACUCUAAAAUCCUUAAAAAAAUCAUAGAAAACUCUAAAAAAUUCUAAAGAAGCUUAAAAAAUUCGAAAAAAGCGUAAAAAUCUUAGAAAAUCCUAAAAAUCCAGAAAACCCUACAAACCAUAGAAAACAACCUUAAGAAACCCUAAAAAAACCCUUGAAAACCUUAAAAAUCUUAAAAACCCUAGAAAUUCUAGAAAAUCCUAAAAAAUUCUAUGAAAUCAUAGAAAAUCAUAGUAAAUCCUAAAAAAUUCUAAAACACUAAAAAAGAUCUAGAAAACCCUAAAAACCCUUAAAAAAUCCUAGAAAAUCAUAAAAAAUCCUAAAAAAUCUUAGAAAAUCCUAAAAAUUCUUAAAAUUCCUAAAAAAAACCCUAAAAACACUAAAAAAUCCUAAAACAUUAAAAAAGACAUAGAAAACCCUAAAAACCCUUAAAAAACCCUAGAAAAUCAUAAAAACCCUAAAAAAACCCUAAAAAUCCUAAAAACACUAAAAAUCUAAAAAAACGCUAGAAAACCAUAAAAACCCUAAAAAAACCCUCAAAAAUCCUAAAAAACCAAGAAAACCCUAGAAACCAUAAAAACCCUAAAGAACCCUAAGAAACUCGAAAAACCCUAAAAAUUCCUAGAAAACUCUUAAAAAACCAUAAAAACCCUAAAAAACCUUAGAAAAUCCUAAAAAUCCUAAAAAACCCUAAAAACCCUAGAAAACUAUAAAAAAUCUAGAAAACACUAAAAAACCCUAAAAAACCUAAAAGCAAACCCCUAAAAAGAUAAAAAAAUCCUAAAAAACCCUAAAAACCCUAAAAAAUCAUAAAAAUCCUAGAAAACCCUAAAAAACCAAGUCCUUAGAAAACUCUAAAAAAAUCCUAGAAAACCCUAAAAACUCGAAAAAAGCCUAAAAACCUUAGAAAAACACAAAAAUUCUAGAAAAUCCUAAAAAGUCCUAAAAAACCCUAAAAACCAAAGAAAGCUAUAAAAAAAAUCCUAAAAAACCCGAAAAACCCUAAAAAAUCCUUAAAACCCUAGAAAACGCUAAAAACCCAAUAAAACCCUAAAAAAACCAAGAAAAAUCUAAAAAAAAUCGUAAAAACCCCUAAAAAACCAUAAAAACCUUAAAAACCCUCAAAAACCCUAAAAACCCAAGAAAACCCUAAAAAUCCUAAAAAACCAAGAAAAUCCUAAAAACCCUAAAAAAAACUCUAAGAAACCCGAAAACCCCUAAAAAACCUUAGAAAACUCUGAAAAACCAUAAAACCCUAAAAAAUCUUAGAAAACCCUAAAACCCUAGAAAAUCCUAAAAAACCCUAGAAAACACUAAAAAUCCAAAAAAGACUAGAAAACCCUAAAAACCUUGAAAAAUCAUAAAAACCUAGAAAACUCUAAAAACCCUAGAAAACCCUAAAAAAUCCUAAAAUCCCUAGAAAAUUCUAAGAAACCCUAGAAAACCCUAAAAAAUCCGAAAAAAAGCCUAAAAACCUUAGAAAAUUUUAAAAAUCUUAGAAAACUCUAGAAAACCCAAAAAACCCUAAAAAUCCUAGAAAGUUCUAGAAAACCCUAAAAACCCAAGAAAACCCUAAAAACCCUAGAAAUUCCAAAAAACCCUAAGAAACUCGAAGAACUCUAAAAAAACCUAGAAAACUCUAAAAAAAUCCUAAAAUACCCUAAAAACCCUAAAAAAACCCUAAAAACCCUAAAAAAACUCUAAAAUUCCUAGAAAACCCUAAAAACCCUAGAAAAGCCUAAAAACCCUAGAAAACCGUAAAAAAUCCUAAAAUCCCUAAAAAAACCCUAGAAAACUCUAAAAAAUCAUAGAAAAUCCUAAAAAACCCGAAAAAAGCGUAAAAGACUUAGAAAACCCUAAAAAACCUAGAAACCCCUGAAAACCCUAAAAACCCUAAGAAACCCUAAAAACCUUGAAAAUCCUAAAAGUCCUAAAAACCCUAGAAAAUCCUAGAAAACCCUAAAAACCCUAAGAAAUCCUAAAGAACCCUUGAAAACCCUAAAAAGCCUUAAAAUCCCUAGAAAACCCUUAAAAUCCAAGAAAAUCCUAGAAAACCCUAAAAACCCAAGAAAACUCUAAAAAUCCUAAAAAAACCCCGAAAACCGCUAAAAAACCCUAGAAAACUAUAAAAAAAACCCUAAAAACCCUGAUAGACCCUAAAAAACCCUAAAAGCCCUAAAAAACCUUAAGAAACCUUAAAAAACCCUAUAAAAUCCUAAAAACCCUAGAAAACCCUAAAAAAUUCUAGGAAACCCUGAAAAACCCUAAAAACCCUAAAAAACUCUAAAAAGACAAGAAAAUCCUAAAAACCCUAAAAACCCUAGAAAACUCUAAAAACCCUAGAAAAUCCUAAAAACCCCUAAAAUCUCUAGAAAACCCUAAAACCCUAGAAAACCCUAAAAAAUCCUAAAAAUCCAAAAAAAAUCCUAAAAAUCCUAGAAAACCUUAAAAAGCCCUAAAAUCCCCUAGAAAACCCUAAAAAACCCUAAAAACCAAGAAAAUCCUAAAAACCCUAAAAAACCUUUAAAACCCCUAAAAAUCCUAAAAAAUCCUAAAAAACUUUAAAAAACCAUAUAAAACCCUAAAAACUUUAGAAAACCCUAAAAACCCUAGGAAACUCUAAAAAAUCCUGAAAAUCUAAAAAACCCUAAAAAAACCCUAAAAGGACAAAAAAACCCUAAAAACCCUAGAAAACCCUAAAAACUCUAGAAAACUCUAAAAAACCCUAAAAUCCCUAGAAAACCCUAAAAAAUCCUAAAAAACCUAGAAAACCCUAAAAAACUCUAAAAACCCUAGAAAAUCCUAGAAAAUCUAAGAAAACACUAAAAACCCUAGAAACUCUAGAAAACUUUAAAAAACUCUAGAAAGUUCUAGAAAACUCUAGAAAAUCCUAAAAAAACCUAAAAAUCCAAGAAAACUCUAAAAUCCCUAAAAAAUCUGAAAAACCCUAAAAAAUCUUAGAAAACUCUAAAAUCCCUAAAAAACCCAAAAAUAGUUAGUUGUUGGGUGGUGUUACCCAUAGAUAUAUUCUUAUGAAUAUAUAAUAAGUCGAUAUUGAAAAAGAAAAAUUACACCCGAAUGUUUUUUCCAUUUUUAUUGGUCUCAUCAGUUGUUUACGCUUCUAUAAUCAAAGAAGUACCUUUUAUUUUUCCAAAAUUAAGUACUUAUUUUUAGUUGUUUAUUAUUUGUAUUUAAAUAAAGAAAUAGACAUAAGAAAGAUUUUUUUUUGCGCGUGUUUUUU